rnacentral:rRNA from 1 species
UACCAGCACCCCGAGUGGUCUGGACUAUUAUUGGGCCUAAAGCAUCCGUAGCCGGUUCUACAAGUCUUCCGUUAAAUCCACCUGCUUAACAGAUGGGCUGCGGAGGAUACUAUAGAGCUAGGAGGCGGGAGAGGCAAGCGGUACUUAGUGGGUAGGGGUAAAAUCCGUUGAUCCAUUGAAGACCACCAGUGGCGAAGGCGGCUUGCCAGAACGCACUCGACGGUGAGGGAUGAAAGCUGGGGGAGCAAACGGG